CGACCACCCGCUGAACUUAAGCAUAUCAUUAAGCGGAGGACAAGAAAACAACCGUGAUUCCCCUAGUAGCGGCGAGCGAAGCGGGAGCAGCCCAAUCCGAAUCCCUCGGGAGUUGUGGAGUAGCGAGGACGCCGGCGUGGAACGCGCGCACCAAAGUCUUCCUGGAAAGGAGCGCCAGAGAGGGUGAUAGCCCCGUGUGCGUGCGCGCCGCCCAGGACGCCGGCGUCUGCGGAGUAGUACUGCUUGGGAAUGCAGUGCGAACGGCAGGUAUACCUCUGCCAAGGCUAAAUAUCAUGGGGAGACCGAUAGCGAACAAGUAGCGUGAGCGAAAGAUGAAAAGCACUUUGGAGAGAGAGUGAAACAGCACCUGAAGCUGUUAUGAGGUAAGGGAUGGAU
rnacentral:rRNA from 1 species